CUCCACUUUCUACCUCUUUUCCACAGGCCUGUUUCCCCUCAGACCACUUGGGAGUGUGAUGGGCUUUCCUGCUGGCCCCUGGCUGCCAGGCACCCUGACCCCUGCCCUAGCCCCACCUUGCUGUCAGGCCUUCUCAGCCCGGCUGACCUUUGUGCUCUAGACUGUUUCCUCACUCCGUACUCCCGCUAAACCCUAACCAGUUUCAGAUCUUGGUCCUUUAGGGCUCUGUCUUCUGUUUCCCAAGAGCUUCGUUGAUUACCUCGAAAGGCGGGGGCUGGGACGGGGCACCGCAAUUCAAGGCACAACAGAAAUCGGGAGUGGAGCAUUUCUUCGGACCAUGCGCAUAACUUUGUGUUAAGUGUUGGCACUACAACGAAUUUCACCGAACUCUGCGGACCGCCCUAACAACCCAGCACAUCGACUACUCCCUGAGCGCAGACGGUGCGCGCUUCCUUGGUGGGCAUGGCGCUUCUGCCACCGCAGCCUGCAGACGUAGCCAGGAACCUCCCACCUACAGGCACUAUUAAUCACAGUGGAAACGAACAGGAAUCAACGCAUAAUGGAUAAGAUUAGCCGUCCGCGGAAGCACAGCACUUCAAACCGAGUGGUAAACACCGGCCAGCAGCUCUGCCAGAUAUAAUCAGAGACAAGAGCACUUCUGCCACCAAUCCAGAGACGAGAGUGCCCUGGAGUGUGGGCCUGGUGCAUCCUUAGGACCGGAACCUUUUUCGAAAGUGACCUUUUUAAUCAUGUUGUAACUGAGUGCCUGAUAGAAGGAUGGUGCUCUGUAUGGAUUCUAGAAUCUAGGGGAAGGAGCCAAAGAGUAAAUAUUUGUGGGUGUUUAUCCUGUGCUGCAAAUACUGUUUGAUAGGUCACUGGAUAACAUAAAAGCCAGCAUUUACAGAACACUUACUAUCUGUGCCAGGCCAGGGGAGGCCACGAGGAUGAGCAAGAUACUUAGAAGCUACCUCGAUCUGAACAUGUCUGCCAAGCGUUGGGUGUUGACGAGGCCCUAGGGAAUUGUAACCCAGCCCCUCAUUUUCAUAAUGAAGAAACAGAGGUUAUGCCUGGUCCAUAUUUGCCGGGGGAACUAGUUGCAGAACAUGGAUGAGACCUGGAUGUCCUGACUCCAGUCCAGUGAAAGGAGAUACCAGGGGUAUCAGGAGAGAAAAGCAGAUGUUUUGACCCACUUGAGCAGCUGUAACUCAUCAAGGUGAAAGUAUAGGGCAGCCAGCAGGAAAGACUGGUGCUCUGCUAGUUUGACCAUUCUGACACCCAAACAAAUAUUGCCUGCCGCGGUCAGGAAAGACCCACCUGGUCCACAGGAAACUGUAAAAUACACCUGGGCAUUUCUUUCCUUGGGCCUCCAAGAUGGAUUGAAUGAAGCCACACCAUGAACUGAGCACUGUGUGAUGGUUUACUCAGCAAAUGGCUGCCGGGGUAAUUGGUGAACAAACCACACACACUCUGGAGAGGGCUCAGGCCGGCCGUGUCCAUCCCUCCACACUAGGAAUGGGGGACAGGGGGUGUGUUCUCGAACAAGUGUGAGGAAUCUGACCCAAGUGGAACGACUUCUGUCAUCAGCAGGUUCUGCCGGUGUAGCCCCUUGGUCCCAUCAGAGUUGGGGGAAUUGCUACUUGACAUGAGGCUCUUAUUAUUGCGGAACAACUCUUCUGAAACUGCUCAAAGUUCAUCUUUUUUCCAGCUUUAUUAAGAGGGGACCCCGGACACGGAGAUGAACUGGAGAGACAGCCCCCUGACUGCUCGUCCUCCUUAAAUCUAUCCGCACACCGCAGCAGCAUCUGAACUACUGCCCGAGCGAACGAGCUUCUUACAAACCGGUCGGACCACAUCCCUGCCCUCCUUCACGGCUCCCUGGCCCCCGGACCCUGGGACAUUGCAGCCCCCGCCGUCCCCCAGCGCUGCGCGGGCCUUCCCCGCGGCCCCACGUCCUCCCGGGCGCCCUGUGCGUGUGCUCCCCUGACCUUCUCACCGCUUUCGCGAGUCUGGGCCUCUGCGUUUGGGGUCGUCCCUAUUUCUCCCUUCCUCGCGCCCCUCGAACUCCUCCCCAGCUCGCACACCGCUGCCCCGCGGAGCUCUCCCCAGCGCCCCCGCAGACCCAGCCGCCCUAUCCUGCUGCCGCGCUCCGCGCCUCCAUCACCGCUCCAUCCCCACUGUUCCGCGGGAAGCCCUCGGGGCGGGGCCGCGCCUCAGACCCCUCCGUGUCCCGACGGCCGUACAGCGGUCGGCAAGAGGAACGCCUCUGCCAGGCAUGUAGAGGGCAGCGGGGCAGGACUGCUGCAGAGGUGAAGGGAGCACGAGGGACAGACAGGAGCGCAGAGAGAGGGGCAAGCACCGCGUCCUGGCUGAGAGGAUAACGCAAACGCUGAAUACCUACAUUACACCAGCCGAGGGUCAGCCCCAUGUCCCGCUGAUUUUCGCAUGCAACAACCCUGUGUCAAGCUGAUCUCGUGGUGUUCGCUGAGAGGGGUGAGGAGAGGGUCGGAUGACGCCAGCAGCUGGAAGGGAGGGGGAGGAGGGGCACACAGUUACUGCCCUCCUGGUCCUGCUCUGCUGGGCAGCUAUCACCAAGCAGGAGCCCUGUCCCACUCUGGCAGGACACAUGAGUGUCCCCUUCCUCUCCAACCCCUUGUAGGAGGCAUCAUGGUAUAAUGGGAGAAGCAGGGGCCUCAGAGCCAUAGAGACCUGGGUUCAAAACCCAGCUCAGCUGUUGCUAGCUGUGUGAUUGCAUGCAAGUUACUUAACCCCUCUGAUCUUCAGACUACUCUCCUGAAAAAUAGGAAUUUUAAAAAACCAAAACUUACUCCACAGGAUUAUUCAUUCCUAGAACAAAUUUUUUUUGAGUCCUCAUUUGUAUUAUUUCUGAUCUAGUCAAUGGGAAUAUAGUAGCUUCAUAUAUAAUAAGUACUUAAAUAUUAGCUUCUUUCUUUUCUGCUAUUCAUUCCCUAAUCGAAAGCACAGAAUCCUUAGAGAAAUCCCCUCCUUUUUUCCUCUUCUCUAGUGCACAUUGUUUUGUCCUCCAAGUAAAGAUCACCUAAUAACAAGAGUAACACCUAACACCAGGUACUUACUACCUGCUAGGCACUAUUUGCAGUACUUACAUACUUUACUAAUUUAAUGCUCACAACAACACAAAGAGAUUGAUUUUACAAAUAAGGAAAAGGAAGCACAGAGAAGCUAAGGGAUUUGUCAUGGUCACACAGCCAGUAAAUUAUGGAGCUGGGAUUUGCACCAGGGCUCCUGGGUUCGAGUCCACAGCCUGAGCCAAUACGUUAGAGAUCAUAUAGUUCAGGCCCUCUGCGUGAUAGCGUGUCUUCACAGCUGUCUCUCUUCCCCCAUCCCUCCUUGUCUUUUCUCUUCUCCUCUCUUCUGUUCUUUUCCUCUCAGCUGAAGAAACUGAAGGCUACUUUGGACAGGGUUAGGUGACAGGCUCAAAGUUACACAACUCCUGUGGCCUUUAUCCUCCAUUCCCGGGCCCUUCCUCUGACACUGUGCAACAGUAGACAAUCAGUGUGAAGGCAAACAGCUGAAAUUAAUUACAAUUUUGAGUAAAUAAUUUAUAUAACUUUAUACUCCCCGUUGUGACAACCAUUUGAAGGUAUCAGAUGUAAUGGUAAAAAGAUUCCCAUUAGAUACCAUUAUGCUUCUUUUAGUUUAAUUAAUCCCAAUCUGAAAUGCACUCUUUGUUUUUGCUAGCCUUGUUUGAAUUUCUGCCCCCACAAAUAUUUGUGCUGUUGUUUUAGUUUCAAUUAGCUUCUGGUGUUUUCCUUGGACUGGUUUUUGUGAUGGAAUGGGGGUGGAGUGUUUACAGUCUGACCUGUCAUCUGUGAAGCUUUGCCUCCCCAAACCACCACAGCCCCAGCUCAGAGACGACAACGAAGUACAGUCAAAACAAGCCCAGGGCGCUGGGGAGCCCGGGAGCACUGGCCCCGCUGCAGACUCACUCUGAAGCCCAAGCCACCCGGAGGCAGUCGUCACACGGAGGAGCAUUGCACACAAGGCCUCCACGGAAUUUCCAGAACUUUGCCCUUGAACUGACAUGAGGUCACCAGAAUCUAGAACCUAAUUCCAGGAAGAAUACUUUCUGGUAUCAAGGAGGUACUCAACCCAGAAGAGAUAAGAAAGUCAAUAGGUGCCAUUGACAAAUUGGGGCAUAAGUUUACAGAGGGUGGUGUAGGUGAUAAACGAGACACUGGAGGCAGAACACUAUUUGCAGACAGAAGAAUUUCCCAGCUCACCUGUAUGAGUCAAUGAACUCCUCUGAGUUUUGAUUUCCUCAUCUGUAGAAAAAGGAGAUACUAAUACUUGGCUUGCUGACCACCCAGGGAUCAAAUGAGGAAAUUAGGCACAUGAGAUCAAUCUGAAAACUGCAAAGUACUCUAGAAAUACGAUGAAUUAUAUUACUGCUAUUCCAUAACUCGUAUAUAAAGAAAGUGGAGUUUCACUGGAAUAACAUAUAUAACAGUGAUUUCCACUGAAAUGCACCAGAAAGAAUGAUGCAACUCAUUGUGAGACUUUUAUUGCAUUUUUAAACCUGGGAGAGACAGCUUUGCACACAUAACAAAACACAGCAAGAAAGCGUCAGACAGGGACUGUGCGCCUGCACCAGCCUGAGUGUUCCAGACACACUGGGAAGGAUGAGGCAGGUGAGACGUGCAGCCUGGAAGAGUCAACUCCUCUGUGUGCACAAGGGGGCAGGCACAGCCACUGGGCUGCCGCCCCAGGGUAAGGGGUACUCAAGCCCCAGGCAGAUGUUAGAGACUGCUGUGGACUAAAUUGCGUCCCCCAAAAGCAUGUGUUGAGGCCGUAACCCCCAAUGUGACAAUGUUUAGAAAUAGGGCUUUUAGGAGGUAAAGUGAAAUGAGGGCGUAGGGACAGGGCCCUGAUCCAAUGGGAUUGGUGGCAUUAUACAAAGAAGAAGAGCUCGUCCUGGCCUUCUCCCUCUCUCCCCUCUCUACCUCCCCCUCAGAGGGAAGGCCACGUGAGGACAAAGUAGCCAUCUGCAAGCCAGGAAGAUGGCUCCCACCAUAAGCCAAUCCUGCUGGAACCCAGAUCUUGGACUUUCCAGCCUUCAGAACUGUGAGAAAAUUAAUUUCCGUUGUUUAUGCCACCAGUCUGUGGUAUUUUGUUAUGACAGCCAAGAAGACUGAGACAUGGACAACGUACUCAUUUUUGUUUUACAGCUCAGUUUCAUUCCCACAGUGCAGAGGCUAAAAGCUCACGUGUUGGAUUUUCACCACCAGAGAUCAUAUCCUGCCUCUCACAUUUCUUGGCUAUGGAAAUCUGAGAAACUUAAAAAAUCUCCAACUCCCAGUUUUCUCAUCUAUAAAAUGGGAAUAAUAAUAGUAAUAACAGCAUCUACCUUGGGCUUGCUGUAAAGAAAUGCAGCAGCCAGCAUAGUGCUGGCACUUAGUAAGUGCCCAGUUAAUGUUAACUGUCACCAUCAAUCCUAGAAAAAGUCCGGUAUUAAGCACAAAAUACUCUGCAACCAAGUUAAAGCUAGAUCUCCCAUUGCUGAGUCAACCCCGCACUCUCCACCCGCCAA
rnacentral:lncRNA from 1 species